rnacentral:rRNA from 1 species
AUUGAACGCUGGCGGCAGGCCUAACACAUGCAAGUAGAACGAGUGGCGGACGGGUGAGUAAUGUCUGGGAAACUGCCUGAUGGAGGGGGAUAACUACUGGAAACGGUAGCUAAUACCGCAUACCAUCAGAUGUGCCCAGAUGGGAUUGGCUUGUUGGUGGGGUAACGGCUCACCAGGGCGACGAUCCCUAGCUGGUCUGAGAGGAUGACCAGCAACCUGGGAACUGAGACAGGGUCAGAACUCCUACGGGAGCAGGAGGUGGGGAAGAUCGGACAAGGAGGGAAAGCUGAAUGCAGACAGGCCGCGGGGAUGAAGAGGGUCUUGGGGUGUAAAGGUACGUUCAGCGGGGAGACGGUACCCGCAGAAGAAGCACCGGCUAACUCCGUGCCAGCAGCCGCGGUAAUAC